AGCCUGCAGUGAGCCAAGAUCAUGUCACUGCACUCCAGCCUGGGUGAAAGAGCGAGACUCCUUCUCAAAACAAAAAACAAAAAACAAAAACUUCAGUGAAAAUAUUGUCCCAAGAUAUUCCUCAAGAGUCUCCUGGCCACACUGCCAAACACAUCAUAUGUCUGUGCCUCAGAACCUCAGCUUUCACCCUACCUGGUAUAUUCUCCUUCCCUUAUCUGUGUUUUGAGUUUUCUCCUGUCUUUGAGGCCCAAGCAGCUAGCAAUAUCUCAAGAAAAGCAUCUCUGGA
rnacentral:lncRNA from 1 species